AAUCUUAGGCUAAUUUAGACCUAGAGCCUUCAAAGCUCUUAGUAGAAGUUGAAAUCUUCUAGUUUCUG
rnacentral:tRNA from 1 species